GUACUGUAUCAAGGUACUGCAUCAAGGUACUGCAUCAAGGUACUGCAUCAAGGUACUUUAUCAAGGUACUGUAUCAAGGUACUGCAUCAAGGUACUUUAUCAAGGUACUGUAUCAAGGUACUGCAUCAAGGUACUGCAUCAAGGUACUUUAUCAAGGUACUGCAUCAAGGUACUUUAUCAAGGUACUGUAUCAAGGUACUGUAUCAAGAGCGCAGAUCUAGGAUCAGAUCCCCUCUGACCUGACCCAGUCCAUGUUAUCUUAUCAGACCCCC